UGAUAUCAGCGGCGGACGGGUGAGUAACACGUGGGUAACCUGCCUGUAAGAGUGGGAUAACUCCGGGAAACCGGGGCUAAUACCGGAUAACUCAUUCACCUCGCAUGAGGAAACUUGAAAGGUGGCUUCUACUAACCCCUAACAAAGGGACCCCCGCCCAAUAACUUAUUUGGUAAGGUAACGGUUCACCAAGGCAACAAUCCUUACCCAACUUGAAAGGUUAAUCGCCCCCCCUGGAACUAAAACCCGGCCCAAAC
rnacentral:rRNA from 1 species